GACGAACGCUGGCGGCGUGCUUAACACAUGCAAGUCGAACGAUGAAACCUAGCUUGCUAGGUCGAUUAGUGGCGAACGGGUGAGUAACACGUGACUAACCUGCCCCUUUCUCUGGGAUAACGCUCCGAAAGGAGUGCUAAUACCGGAUACUCACACCGAGGCACAUGCCUUGGUGUGGAAAGUUUUUCGGAAAGGGAUGGAGUCGCGGCCUAUCAGCUUGUUGGUGAGGUAACGGCUCACCAAGGCGACGACGGGUAGCCGGCCUGAGAGGGGGACCGGCCACACUGGGACUGAGACACGGCCCAGACUCCUACGGGAGGCAGCAGUGGGGAAUAUUGCACAAUGGGCGCAAGCCUGAUGCAGCGACGCCGCGUGAGGGAUGAAGGUCUUCGGAUUGUAAACCGCUUUCAGUAGGGACGAAGCGAAAGUGACGGUACCUAAAGAAGAAGCACCGGCUAACUACGUGCCAGCCGCCGCAGUAA
rnacentral:rRNA from 1 species